CCUCUCAUGAAGACUGAGCAGCAUCUCCAGCUCACCCACCAACUCAAGCACACUGAGUGUGGAUUAUUGUUUCCCAGGUUUGCUGCCUGGUGGCCACAGCCACCAAGCCCAACUGACUCCAAGCAGUUCAGGAGGUCUGUGACCACCACCGUGUUUCAGCACUCCCGAAUCUGCUGAAAAAAGGAUCAACCCUGGCAAAGACACAAAGUUUUAUUCGGAGUCUCCAUAAUUAGACUGCAUAUGGAUUAGUACUCAAGCACUUCCUAAGGAAAUUCCUUAGGAUUGCAAUAAAAUUAAAGAAAGUGUCUAGCAGCUGAGGACCUGACUGACAUUGACCCAACGUGGUGACCACCAGUACAACAAACCGAACCGGAGUCUCCUGCCUUCGCUGGGCACGUCUGCAGGAGCUGACUAGUGCACAAAGGCUAAAGGAGGACCACAGGCUCCCUGUGCUGUCCCUGUGCUUUCUGAGAGUCCAUAAUUCCCAUCUUGAAGUAGAAAAGAAAAUGCAGAAGAAAUACUUCAGUUGCCAAGAAAAAGAAGAAUGGAAUUUUUAUUUUUUUUUAGCAUGCAUAAGUACUACGUGCCAGAAAGAAGAACACCUCUGCACCACGAGAUGAAAGAUUUACAAUAUAUUCAGUGUGAGAUCUUAACAACACAUACGUUCUUUUAUUUCUCCAGUGAGACUAGAUUAUGGACUUGUUUUAGGAAAGACCUUACCUGAUGAUUAACUGUAUUUUGGUGUAAUAAAAGUUUGUUCUGUCCAUGUUUAUCUUCUUUUUAAAUUGGU